GAAGAGGUCAUCGUGGGGGGCGGAGUCAUGUGUCCCAUCUAAUAUGGCAAUUAGGCCUUUUGUCACUUCAUUUAACCGUUUUUAAGUGUAGUUUCGGUCAUUAUUGAUCUAAUUUUGCAUUUUUGUGUUCCAUUUGUAGGUACCGUCAAGGAUCUCAAGUCCAUUUUAGAGGGCGGAGUUGACGCCUUGUCUUCAAAUUUACAUGAAUGAACAUUAAAGGUUUAGAAGAGGUCAUUGUGGGGGGCGGAGUCAUGUGUCCCAUCUAAUAUGGCAUUUUGGCCUUUUGUCACUUCAUUUAACCGUUUUUAAGUGUAGUUUCGGUCAUUAUUGAUCUAAUUUUGCAUUUUUGUGUUCCAUUUGUAGGUACCGUCAAGGAUCUCAAGUCCAUUUUAGAGGGCGGAGUUGACGCCUUGUCUUCAAAUUUACAUGAAUGAACAUUAAAGGUUUAGAAGAGGUCAUCGUGGGGGGCAGAGUCAUGCAUCCCAUCUAAUAUGGCGUUUUGGCCUUUUGUCACUUCAUUUAACCGUUUUUAAGAGUACCGUCAAGGAUCUCAAGUCCAUUUUAGAGGGCGGAGUUGACGCCUUGUCUUCAAAUUUACAUGAAUGAACAUUAAAGGUACCGUCAAGGAUCUCAAGUCCAUUUUAGAGGGCGGAGUUGACGCCUUGUCUUCAAAUUUACA